rnacentral:rRNA from 1 species
CCGAAAUUUGCCCCUUAGAAUUUGAUCCUGGCUCCGGGAUGAACGCUGGCGGCGUGCUUAACACAUGCAAGUCGAACGAGAACUUGAGAGACUGAUUCUUCGGAUGAAGUCCCUUGAGGGAAAGUGGCGGACGGGCGAGUAACACGUGAGCAACCUACCCUUUACAGUGGAAUAACAAUCGGAAACGAUUGCUAAUACCGCAUAACAUAUACCUUAGGCAUCUUCGGUAUAUCAAAGAUUUAUCGGUAAUGGAUGGGCUCGCGUCUGAUUAGUUAGUUGGUGAGGUAAUGGCUCACCAAGACCGCGAUGGGUAGCCGGCCUGAGAGGGUGAACGGCCACACUGGAACUGAGACACGGUCCAGACUCCUACGGGAGGCAGCAGUGGGGAAUCUUGCACAAUGGGCGAAAGCCUGAUGCAGCGACGCCGCGUGAAUGAUGAAGGCCUUCGGGUCGUAAAAUUCUGUCCUAAGGGAAGAUAAUGACGGUACCUUAGGAGGAAGCACCGGCUAACUACGUGCCAGCAGCCGCGGUAAUACGUAGGGUGCAAGCGUUGUCCGGAAUUACUGGGCGUAAAGGGUUCGCAGGCGGCCUUUUAAGUCAGGCGUUAAAGAUCAUGGCUCAACCAUGGUAUGCGCUUGAAACUGAAAGGCUUGAGUCAAGGAGAGGAAAGUGGAAUUCCUAGUGUAGCGGUGAAAUGCGUAGAUAUUAGGAGGAAUACCAGUGGCGAAGGCGACUUACUGGUCUGUAAUUGACGCUGAGGCUCGAAAGCGUGGGUAGCAAACAGGAUUAGAUACCCUGGUAGUCCACGCCGUAAACGAUGAGUGCUAAGUGUUAGGGG